rnacentral:rRNA from 1 species
UACGAAGGGAGCUAGCGUUGUUCGGAAUCACUGGGCGUAAAGCGCACGUAGGCGGAUUUGCCAGUCAGGGGUGAAAUCCCGGGGCUCAACCUCGGAACUGCCUUUGAUACAGCAAGUCUUGAGUUCGAGAGAGGUGGGUGGAAUUCCUAGUGUAGAGGUGAAAUUCGUAGAUAUUAGGAAGAACACCGGUGGCGAAGGCGGCCCACUGGCUCGACACUGACGCUGAGGAGCGAAAGCAUGGGGAGCGAACAGG